rnacentral:rRNA from 1 species
AACGAACGCUGGCGGCAUGCCUAACACAUGCAAGUCGAACGAGACCUUCGGGUCUAGUGGCGCACGGGUGCGUAACGCGUGGGGACCUGCCCUUAGGUUCGGAAUAACUCCCCGAAAGGGGUGCUAAUACCGGAUAAUGUCUUCGGACCAAAGAUUUAUCGCCUUUGGAUGGGCCCGCGUUGGAUUAGCUAGUUGGUAGGGUAAAAGCCUACCAAGGCGACGAUCCAUAGCUGGUCUGAGAGGAUGAUCAGCCACACUGGGACUGAGACACGGCCCAGACUCCUACGGGAGGCAGCAGUGGGGAAUAUUGGACAAUGGGCGAAAGCCUGAUCCAGCAAUGCCGCGUGAGUGAUGAAGGCCUUAGGGUUGUAAAGCUCUUUUACCCGGGAUGAUAAUGACAGUACCGGGAUAAUAAGCUCCGGCUAACUCCGUG